UACGAGGGGUGCAAGCGUUGCUCGGAAUUAUUGGGCGUAAAGGGUAGGUAGGUGGUCUCAUUUGUCAGGGGUGAAAGCCUUGGGCUUAACCCAAGAAGUGCCCCUGAAACGGUGAGACUGGAGUCCUGGAGAGGGUCGUGGAAUUCCCGGUGUAGCGGUGAAAUGCUUAGAUAUCGUCAAGAACACCGAUAGUGAAGACAGCUUACCAAGCUUCAACUGACGCUGAGGCACGAAAGUGUGGGGAUCAAACAGG
rnacentral:rRNA from 1 species